rnacentral:lncRNA from 1 species
UCAAAGUCAGCUAACUAUGGAAUUCCCCGAGCCUGAAAUGUGAGGAAAUGAGGGUGGUGAGAUUAUAAAAUCCCAAUGAGUAAACAGAUACCAUCUAAACUAUCUAAAGUCGAGUAAAUGGAGACAAUUGAAAUAAGUCAUCAUACUGUAAUUUCAUUACAUUUGAACUCAUUUCAACCAAAUAAAAUCAAUCCAUAUAAAUCGAGUAAUCAACUUGGCUUAUGAAUUUCUUAAAACUUUGGCUCGUACCAAAACUCAUACUCGGUGAUACCUUGCGCAG